rnacentral:tRNA from 1 species
GGACCCGUAACUCAGUGGUAGAGUAUCUGAUUCCAGCUCGUUUGGAAAACAGCAUCCAGAAGGUCAUCCGUUCAAGUCGGGUCGGGUUCA